AGCAAAACCGGAGGUAGAACUAUUUUUAACUGGCAUCAAUAAGGACAGAGUGAAUCUACCUGUCAGACAACAGCCCAUCUCUGGAAAUAACCAUCACCUGCUAAACCGGGAUGCCUGUUUUCAUAGUGACAUCGCGCUGUGCCUCUCGUGUUAAGUGAUUUCUGCUGGCUGUGUGCGCCAUGGAGCUGACUGACAGCUUCAAUUCAACAGGUUAUUCGAUCACCGCAGUCUACAGCAGAGCCCGUCUGGCUCUCCAUUCACCAGACAGACGCUCCUUGUCUGCCUUUGCCGCAGACAUGCGCCUCCAGCAGCUCUGAAGCGUCUCUAUUCUAUUUCUGUCGAAUAAUAUUGACUGGUUACACUAAAGCAGCGACAGAAUGCACGGCACAGCACAGCACAGCAGAGCAGCCCGCCCGAGUUGCUAUUCUGGGAAGUUGGUCUGACGGAAACCGAUCACAGAGUGUGGACCCGGUCUGCCUCGUCUCUGCUCGGCGAUCGAUUAGGUUACAAGGGGGCCUCUUAUUCCCAAAGCUGCAGACAGGCUGAAUCCCCGUGGAGACAAGAGCAUGACUGUCAGAAAGUGUCUAUAGGGAAUACAGUGGAGGCUACUCAAGGACAAAUACAGUGAAUAUUCCUUUUUUGUACAUAUGCUGAAGCUAACACGUGAUUAGAUGUAUUUCGCAGAAAUGAGACACAUCUGUAACAGUAAUUAUGACGAACUUUAUGCAAAUGUUAUCAUCUCGUCAUAUCAGAAUGUGAACAACAUAGACGUUUAUGAAAACAGUUUCUUUUUUUUUUUAAUUCAAGGAUUAUAAACGAUAUGUGUAAUGAGAAAUACAAUAGUAAACAAUAGUGGACAAUUUAUGUUGUGACAGCAAAGUUUGAAAACUAUUUCUUGUUGCUUAGACACAGAUACAUUUGCAAAAAGUUAAAAUUAGCAGUUAUCAUGGGCCCCUCUGAUAGAUGUGUUGGACUAGAAUAAAGAUUAUGAUGCUCAUCAUAGUAUAAUCGAAGAUAGUGUUAAAAGAAGCUGCAGGUGUUAUUGUAGUGGUCAUAAAAGAUGACUCCAAGGCACUGGUGUAAUGCUAGCACAAGGUAAACAGGAUAGUUCACCUAUAAAAGCUGAGUUAAGAAACAGAAAAUGAGCAACUGAUGUAAAACUGUGCGAAUAAACAUGAUUAUGUCAGCAAUUCUGAAUAGCUUUUUAUAAUUUAAGACGUCAAGUAAGUUUUGGCAGAUAACAGUGCGAGCGGUUUGAGUGUGGAUCUGUGAAUAAUUCAUGUAAACCACUGGUUCUUACACUGCAUGUCCAAUUGAGCGAAGAGGCUCAACUAGAUUUGAUUGUGACUUAGAGGAAUCAGAAGCCUCAUGUGGCUUAAAGACAGUACGCCUGAAGCACAAGUUGAAGCAUAGGUGCACAUACUGGGCCAAUAAACUUGUCUGGAUUCUAAUAAACACUACUCUCUGAA